rnacentral:rRNA from 1 species
ACCAUGGCUUCGGCCAUGGGGACAGCGGCGAACGGGUGAGUAACACGUGGGUAAUCUGCCCUCGACACUGGGAUAGCCCGGGGAAACCCGGAUUAAUACCGGAUAGCCUCUCGAGCUCUCGGGCUCGUGAGAAAAGAUGGCUUCGGCUUUCGGUUGAGGAGGAGCCUGCGGCGGAUUAGCUUGUUGGUGAGGUAACGGCCCACCAAGGCGACGAUCCGUAGCUGGUCUGAGAGGACGAUCAGCCACACUGGGACUGAGACACGGCCCAGACUCCUACGGGAGGCAGCAGUGGGGAAUCUUGCGCAAUGGGCGAAAGCCUGACGCAGCGACGCCGCGUGAGGGAAGAAGGCCUUCGGG